UACGUAGGGGGCAAGCGUUGUCCGGAAUUAUUGGGCGUAAAGAGCGUGUAGGCGGUCCGGUAAGUCGGCUGUGAAAGCCCAGGGCUCAACCCUGGGAUGCCGGUCGAUACUGCCGGACUAGAGUUCGGAAGAGGCGAGUGGAAUUCCCGGUGUAGCGGUGAAAUGCGCAGAUAUCGGGAGGAACACCUAUGGCGAAGGCAGCUCGCUGGGACGUUACUGACGCUGGAGACGCGAAAAGCGUGGGGAGCAAACAGG
rnacentral:rRNA from 1 species